GACGAACGCUGGCGGCGUGCUUAACACAUGCAAGUCGAACGGUAAGGCCCUUCGGGGUACACGAGUGGCGAACGGGUGAGUAACACGUGGAUGAUCUGCCCUGCACUUCGGGAUAAGCCUGGGAAACUGGGUCUAAUACCGGAUAGGACUCCGGACUGCAUGGUCUGGGGUGGAAAGCUUUUGCGGUGUGGGAUGGGCCCGCGGCCUAUCAGCUUGUUGGUGGGGUGAUGGCCUACCAAGGCGACGACGGGGAGCCGGCCUGAGAGGGUGACCGGCCACACUGGGACUGAGAUACGGCCCAGACUCCUACGGGAGGCAGUAGUGGGGAAUAUUGCACAAUGGGCGCAAGCCUGAUGCAGCGACGCCGCGUGAGGGAUGACGGCCUUCGGGUUGUAAACCUCUUUCAGCAUCGACGAAGCGAAAGUGACGGUAGGUGCAGAAGAAGGACCGGCCAACUACGUGCCACCAGCCGCAGUAA
rnacentral:rRNA from 1 species